ACCAAGCACGGCCUUCCCACUGGGAACACAAACUCGCCGGCGGGAAGAACCCGGAAAGAAACCUGUGGAUCUCCCUUUGAGAUUGUCCAAAGAGAAGAAAGGUGACCUCACAUUCGUGCCCCUUAGCAGCACUCUGCAGAAAUGCCUCCUCAGCUGCAAAACGGCCUGAACCUCUCGGCCAAAGUUGUCCAGGGAAGCCUGGACAGCCUGCCCCAGGCAGUGAGGAAGUUUCUCGAGAAUAACGCUGAGCUGUGUCAGCCUGAUCACAUCCACAUCUGCGACGGCUCUGAGGAGGAGAAUGGGCGGCUUCUGGGCCAGAUGGAGGAGGAGGGCAUCCUCAGGCGGCUGAAGAAGUAUGACAACUGGUAAGCUCGGCCCCCGCUGCCUGCCCUAGCCCCCUGCAGGCAGGGCUCCCCUGCGUCUCCUGGGAGUUGGUGGAGAAAGGUGAACGAAGGCCUUUGGGGAGUUUCAGAUUCUUGAGAAGAUGAAUGCAAUGGUCAGAACCAUACAGACUUGAAUUUUGUGACAUUAGUGGGCCAGCCCAAGCUUUAAAUGAGGUGGUGUGCACAAAAGCUCUGCCAACUAGAUUCUUGAUAAAAACAAAAGACAGCCCCUCUCCUACAGACCAGCUCCUAGUUGAGUAAAUGUCCACCUGGCCGUGUCUUAGAUGGUCUGUGUGUUCACGCUGAUGGACUGUUAGCGUGCUCAGCACUCUGCUAGGCAUGGAAAGCCACGGUACUGAAGGAGACGGUUCACUGCCCGUGGUGUUGGCUGAAAGGAAGCCUGUGAUUUUUGCAGCUGGUUGGCUCUCACUGACCCCAGGGAUGUGGCCAGGAUCGAAAGCAAGACGGUUAUCGUCACCCAAGAGCAAAGAGACACAGUGCCCAUCCCCAAAACAGGCCUCAGCCAGCUCGGUCGCUGGAUGUCAGAGGAGGAUUUUGAGAAAGCGCUCAAUGCCAGGUUCCCAGGGUGCAUGAAAGGUGAGCGGAACAUUGAUUUGAUUGGGCAAAAUAGCAGAGAGCCUUUUCUUAUUA
rnacentral:sRNA from 1 species